rnacentral:rRNA from 1 species
UACGGAGGGUCCAAGCGUUAUCUGGAAUCAUUGGGUUUAAAGGGUCCGUAGGCGGUUUUGUAAGUCAGUGGUGAAAGCCCAUCGCUCAACGGUGGAACGGCCAUUGAUACUGCAAGACUUGAAUUAUUGGGAAGCAACUAGAAUAUGUAGUGUAGCGGUGAAAUGCUUAGAGAUUACAAUGGAAUACCAAUUGCGAAGGCAGGUUGCUACCAAUACAUUGACGCUGAUGGACGAAAGCGUGGG